rnacentral:rRNA from 1 species
CCAAUAGCGUAUAUUAAAGUUGCUGCAGUUAAAAAGCUCGUAGUUGAAUUUCGGGACCAUCAUGUUGGUCGUGCCUCGGUACGUACUGGCAUUGUUGGUUUCUCCCUUCUGACGAACCAUGAUGUCAUUUAUUUGGUGUCGUGGGAAAUCAGGACUGUUACUUUGAAAAAAUUAGAGUGUUUAAAGCAGGCUCACGCUUGAAUACAUUAGCAUGGAAUAAUGAAAUAGGACGUUUGAUUCUAUUUUGUUGGUUUCUAGGAUCGACGUAAUGAUUAAUAGGGAUAGUUGGGGGCAUUAGUAUUCAAUUGUCAGAGGUGAAAUUCUUGGAUUUAUUGAAGACUAACUACUGCGAAAGCAUUUGCCAAGGAUGUUUUCAUUAAUCAAGAACGAAAGUUAGGGGAUCGAAGACGAUCAGAUACCGUCGUAGUCUUAACCAUAAACUAUGCCGACUAGGGAUCGGAUGAUGUUAAUUUUUUAAUGACUCAUUCGGCGCCUUACG